rnacentral:lncRNA from 1 species
GGGAGAGGAAACUACAGGAAUUCCCCUACCCUGGAAUAAGAGAGAUUAUACUUCAGAUCCCAGAAACGAACCAAGCCCCUCUUCUUUCUGGUAAUGCUCCAGGUUGAAGAUUUUAAAGAUGACAAGGUAAAAUUGCUGAAGUCAAAAGAGAAAGACCUAUCCCAACACAAGCAGGUAGAGACUGUGCGGCAGGAGGAAACUCUAGGUGGGACCAAGUUUUUGACUACCCGCCGGCCUGCUCGUCGUCACCCUACAGAUCCAGAAGGCCUCUCUUCCCUUACCUCCAGAAAAGUGCAAGGAAAUAUCAAGAAUGUGGCUCAAGGUCCCAUUCUUAACAGUUUAUCUGACAAAUCCCAGGGUGGACUUCUGGCUAUGAGCGUCACCAUCCCUGAGGCCCAAAGAAGAUCUCAAACAAAAGUAACAUUCUUCUUCACCCCCUUCAGCCCAGCCAUACCAGCAGGAAACAGACACUAAUAAAGAGACGGGGGCCCCUGCCUUCCCCUUCCCCAAUUCAGG